rnacentral:lncRNA from 1 species
UUUUUUUUUUUUGUUUUUUUUUUUCUUUUUCAGCCGCACCCAUGGCAUAUGGACAUCCUGAGCCAAGGACUGAAUCCAAGCCAUAUCUGUGGCCUAUGCCACAGCUGAGGUAAUGCCAGAUCCUUAACCCAUUGGGCCCACAGUGGGAACUCUGGGAUAGUUUAAUAAUGGAAAAUUUAAAAAGAAUGUUUUACCACAGUCAUAAGUCUAAUGGAAUAAGCUAUUACAAUUUCAGUAUAUUCUGAUUGGGGAAAAAAGGGUAGAGCCUUUCGUAUAUUUUUGUUUAUAAAAUUUUCCUAGAAAAGCAGAAAUGAUAGGCAAUGUAACAUCUAAUAUCACAAAAAUGAAACAAUAUUAGGUCAGAAAUUAGAAACAAUACUCAAUUUUAAUACAGUUAUUUAAAAUAAUUCUGGAGGCUCUGGCCAAAACAAAUAAUUUUUGAAACAAAUCAUAAAGGAAGGAUUUCACCCAUGUGACCAAGAGUUGCAACCUGCCUGCACAGACUGUGCUUGGUUAUCCAGCCCAGGUCAUUUCAAAAUGUUUCGGUUAUUAGCCAUCACACACAGUACCUGCAAUUUGAAGGCUUUCUGCCAAAAAUGAAUCCCAACCUGUCUUAGCCAUUGUCUCCCUAUAUAUCCACAAAAUCUAAGUAAAUCUCUAACAAAGCAAAAACAAAACUAAAUACCUUACCAACAAGAGAGUUCAAUAUAGUCACCAGACAGAAGAGAAAUAAAUAAACAAAUAUAAAUCAAUUGUUGUACACUGGUAACAAGAACUUAAUAGAUACAAUAGAGGAGAACGAAUGACAUCAAAGUCUAGAGAUAAUCAUUUUAAAUACCUGAAAGUGACUACUUAGAUAAAAUUAGUUAGAAACGCAAGCAACAUAUGAUUGAGAAAGUAAAGUAAAACUUGAGGUUCCUUUAUGGAAGGUCUAUAUAUCUUAAAGCUGUAAAUUCUUUCAAAAAAUGUAGAGAUUAACCAAUUAUCCUAAAUGUUACCUGAAAGGAUUUAAGGCAAGACCAAUUAAGAGAACUUCUGGGAAAUUCUGCAUGCCAUGGGUGCCACCAAAAAAAAAAAACCCCUCCAAACUACAAUGUGAACUUGUAAAAAGUUGUAAAAGUUAUAAAAAAUUCUGGAAAUUAGAAGGAAGGGGAGAAUCUAUCAGCUGCAGUUCAUUCAUUCAUGUAUGUAGCAAACAUUUAUUUAUUUACUUUGCUUUUUAGGGCCGCAACCACGGCAUAUGGAGGUUCCUAGGCUAGGGGUCUAAUUGGCGCUGAAGUGGCUGACCUACACCACAGCCACAGCAGCGCCAGAUCCGAGCCUCAUCUGCGACCUACACCACAGCUCAUGGGCAACACCAGAUCCUUAACCCACUGCCUAACCCACAGCCAGGGGUCAAACCUGCAAUCUCAUGGUUCCUAGUCAGAUUCACUUCUGCUGUGCCAGGAAGGGAACUCCUGUAGCAAACAUCUAUUAAGCUCCUAAUAUAUACUGGUUAUUUUAGGUAUAGACAUCAGAAAAGGUUCUUUGGGAGGAGGUAUCAUUUGAUAUUAGCUGUGAAAUAUGGGUAGCAUAUUUCCAGAAAGAGAUGAGGGCAGAAAGGACAUUUUAAUGGAAGGAGCCAUGGUGAGCAGUUUCAUUUGUAAGUGGCAAGGGUACAUGUAAACAGAGCCAAUGAUAAAGUUGUAAAGGCUUAUUGGCCCCUUCUUGAGAAAGGAUAUAAAUGUGAGCCUCAGGCAUUUGUUCUUAAUUUGUUGAGCAAUCAAGUCUUUCAAGGUUGAUAAGAAAGACAUGUUUUUAACUAAAAUGGAUGUUUGUCACUCCCUGGGAAAUAAUCUAUUAUCUCUGAAACUUUGUGCAAUGAGGCUCUCUCUUGAGUUAUUUGAGACACUGCACUGAGUCUGUAGUAAGAAUAAUAAAUAGUAUCAUGUUUCUUGCCUCUAAGAGCAGCUCAAAAAAGUUUCUCAUGAUUCACUGUAGCCACCACAAAAGGGAAAGUGUUACAGUCACUAGUGGAUGGGACAUGACAACAACAGAUACCCCAUGCUGGCAGGCAUCUCUUAGGGAUGAGGAUAUACAAGUAAUCAAAACACCAUGUUGUCUCAAGGCCAAAAGGGAGAGAUAGAGAGAUAACAUGCAAUAACCUUGCGCUUACAGGAGGAGGGGCUCUAUGUCAUCCUUGAGGAAAGGAAAAAAUACAUCACUGUCUAUUAUCUACUAUAGACAUGUGCCAUGCCAAAGCACAUUUGUACAUGAGAUAUAUAUAUAUACACACACACAUACACAUGUAUAUAUAUACACACAUUUUCAAACAUGAAAUAUUGCAUAAUUAUAAUAACAAUAGCAUAUAUUACUUUACAAAUAACAAACAUAUUACAUAUACAGUUUUCCUGACUUCAAGAGUUCAGAAUUUAUGAAAGUUUCCAUAGACUUUAGAAUGCCAGGGAUUAAUUUAAAGGCUUUGGUAGGGCUGACACUGUUACUAAAAUAAUAAUGUCUCUGUGGAUUAAAAAAAUGUACACUUGUACAUAUUUUAAAAAUUUACCUAUGUUUACUUGUGAGACAACAUUUUUUUGAGAGAUUAAAGAAGUUUCAGCAGAGAUCAGAGUUCAGAGACUUGGUGAUUAAUAUUUUCUAUUUUAUUUUAGGCCACAUUUGCUCUAGUAUGGUAGGGAAGAGUUGAUAUCACAUUCUGAGGAAACUUGGCAGCUUCUUUUUUGAUAGAGUUAAUCAAAAAUGAAUCAAGACUCUAGCUUCAGGGCUUCUGAAUUAAUGAUAACUUGAAGGAGAUAAAGAGCAGCAGCAACAAUGUAUUUGUAAAGUCAAAACUUCAAAAUGAGUCAGAACAGCUCAUUUAGAUAAAACAUAAACCUAAUUGGCUAAAUUAAAGCAAGACUGUGAUUCCUGAUACAGCUGGGCUCAAGGCAUGUUGUGGUUCCAUAAUGUAACCACAUGAAGUGGAGGAGCCACAAGUUAGAAGCAUCCCAAAAAACACCUAACAAGAGAGGCAAGUUAAUGGGAAAUCAGCCAUGUGCCUUAACCAGAAAUCAGCUAUGUUUCUUAGAGACAAUGAAUAGGCUUUUUCUGGAAGUAGAUUAAAAAGUUGUUUUUUCUGGUUUUAAAAAUGAUUCUUGACACAAAGAACUUCAGAGAAAGGAGCUUAAAUAUUAUGUAGCAGGUAUGAAAAUUAGUAUACAGAAAUCUCAUUUAAAGUGGAAUUGGGAGGCCUGAAUGGGAAGCUCUCACACCCUCCACUGGAUGUCACUUGCAGCCAUAAAAGGAGCUAUAACUUGUAAUACACUCAGUACUGUGCAAUGGCUAUAUGGGAAAAGAAUAUGAAAGGGAAUGGAUAUAUGUAUAUGUGUGGCUGGUUUACUUUAUAUACACCUGACACUAAUGAAGCUUUGUAGGUCACCUAUACUCCAAUAAUAUGUAUAUAACUUUGCAUCUCCAACAUAGAGAAGUUAAUACUUUACUACUAAGCAGGAGAAGGGAAGAAUUUCUCCUUGAGGGACAACAGCCCAGCCAAUGAGAGACUAACAUAAAUCAGCCAAUGAAAAGCUACUAUACUUCAGAACGCCAAUGAACAAUUUGUUUAUAAAAGUCCCUUGCAAUUUGCUCUUCUCCUCUGUAAAAGAAUAUUCCUCCCCUUUGCUCUCCAAACUUGGCUGUGGUUCACCAUAGGUUACAUGUUCUGAAUUGCAAUUCUUUGCUAUUCCUGAAUAAACUCAUUUGGCUGAUAAAAUAAUUGGCGGUUUUAUUGUUUUAGGUCAACAAAGGCAACCCUUUUAUUUUGCAAUGAAACUGACACCCAAAAAGAUUAUGAGUUUUGCUUGGGCUUUACAGUUGGCUCUACAGCUCAUUAGCUAAGACACGAAUUCUGAUCUGAGGUAACAGCUACAUAGGUUGCUUGACCCUCCUCACUUCUCUCCAACAUCAUUUCCAUAGCUUUUUUGAUCUCCCAGUUUUCCUCCAGUCCAUAUAGUUUACCACUGACAGGCUUAUUUAUAAUGUCAAAGUAUUGCUAUAAAACCUUCAGUAGCUCCUGCCUUUUCACAGCCUAACAAAGUCUUUUGCAAUCAGAACUCCUCCACCAAAAGAUAAUUUCUAAUCAUCUAGAUUACUAUUUACCAGUAAAAAAAAAAAAACUCUUCCACAGCCUUAUUGCCUUUUAGUUUCCUGAGCCAUGUUUCAUCCAUCACAUCCACACAUAUUUCUCAUUACUUACACUCCUGAAGGAGUGAAUGAAUUGCUAAUAAACAUGCUUAUUAUGCUCCCCGCCCCCUUUAUUUUAGGGUCACACCCACAGCAUAUGGAGGUUCCCAGGCUAGGGGUCGAAUCAGAGCUGCAGCUGCUGGCCUACAUCACAGCCACAGCAAUGCUGGAUCCGAGCCAUGUCUGCGACUUACACCACAGCUCAUGGUAAUGCCAGAUCCUUAACCCACUAAGUGAGGCCAGAGAUGGAAUCUGUGUCCUUAUGGAUACUAGUCAGGUUUGUUAAUCGAUGAGCCAUGAUGGGAACUCCCAUAUGCUCUCUUUUUAAAAAUUAGACAAAUAUCUAUCUUUCAGUGUAUAAACCAUUCUUCACCUUAACAUAAAGCUCUUUCCACUCACAUACUCGCCCUCAUUUCUCCACUCCAUCCUUCAAACCAUACUUGCCUAUCAAGCUCUCAGUUGCAUAUUUUUGGACAAGUAAUGUGAAAAUUGUGAAACUAAAAUAGGAUUUGAAGUCACGUUGGUGCAGAUCAAUAUACCAUAUGCUAGUGGAAGGAAAAUAGUAUAUAUUUUUUCAGUUUCGGAGUCCAGUAUUUAAGCUAGAAUCUCUUCCAAAAUAGCUUAAUCCCAAUAACAGAAGCCUCCAGAUUCUGUGGGCUAUUUAACAAGAUGAUAUAGUAAAUCUUGCUUGGCUUAUAUUUGGUAUUAUUCUUUUUAUUCCUUAGAGGGUUUGAUUCUCCCUACCUAUUAUUUUAAAGCUUAAAUAGGAUGUUUAUUCUCAGAAUUUCCUGUCAUUGAUAAUUUCUUUCAAGAAAAAAAGUCCUAAGAAAAAAAUCAGGAGAAAUAUCUGCAAUCCAUGACUAGGUGAAAAAAAUCAGAGUAUGUGUUUUGGUCUAAUAGUUCUUGCAUUUCUUUACUAUAAUAUUUGUGACCAUUUAAAUAUAACUGGAAUAUAUUCAUGUUUUUGCCUAAAAAUACAGUUGCUCUCUUCAAAUUUAGCCUUUUCCAAAAUUGUUAUCAUUCAUGAUUAUUGAU